rnacentral:rRNA from 1 species
UCUAGUGAUGAUGGCAAAGAGGUCACACCCGUUCCCAUACCGAACACGGAAGUUAAGCUCUUUUGCGCCGAUGGUAGUNGAUGAGGUAGAUAGGUUCGGGGUGGAAGCGUGGCGACACGUGCA